GGGGUCAACCUCCAUUGUGACACUUCUAAACCCCACCAUCCAAAAUUCCCAAGGAGUGGCAGCUGGGGCCAGAAAUGGAGGGACCAGAACCACAGAACACAAACAAGGGUCCUUUGGCUGCGUUGACGUCUUCAAACAGCCCUGCUCAAGCCCUAGAUCAAAGGAAGCCUAUCUGGACACAGCAAAUAUUAUUAACAUUAUCAAUGCAGCCAUCACUGGGCACUCGGUCUCCAUUUUCACUCGAAUGAAGUUAGUGUGUGAAAACCCAAUUAGGAGAGAGAAACAAGAUGUACUUUAGAGAAAGCAGAAGUGACAGUCAAGGAACUGGAGCCGAUGCAAGGCCCUAGGGACACGGCGUACGUCCCCCUCCUUCUCGCUGCCAACGUCCGGGCAUACAGGGCUCUUCAAAAUGUGACCCAGUGCCCUCGCUUACUGACUGCUGGGACCUGCCUUUUCCUGGAGUGCAUAACCAGGCUCACUCACCCCAGUGGCUCUCAGAGAAGGCCCCGACGACUUCCUGUGCUACACUCUGGCACUCAGCAUGGCAUAGUCAGUCCUGGUGACAGACAGUGGCAGCUUGGCAGCUUCUUACAGAACACCGAACAGGUAACAGAGAGCCUGGGACAG
rnacentral:lncRNA from 1 species